rnacentral:rRNA from 1 species
GUCCUAGCCGUAAACGAUGGGCACUAGGUGUAGGGGGUUAUCAACUCCCCCUGUGCCGCAGCUAACGCAUUAAGUGCCCCGCCUGGGGAGUACGGUCGCAAGACUAAAACUCAAAGGAAUUGACGGGGGCCCGCACAAGCGGUGGAGCAUGUGGCUUAAUUCGAUGCAACGCGAAGAACCUUACCCAGGCUUGACAUAAUCUUGAAAGUCGUGGAAACACGGCCCCCCUUGGGGCAGGAUUACAGGUGGUGCAUGGUUGUCGU